GAUGAACGCUAGCUACAGGCUUAACACAUGCAAGUCGAGGGGAAACGAUGAGAGAGCUUGCUCUCUUAGGCGUCGACCGGCGCACGGGUGAGUAACGCGUAUCCAACCUACCCAUUACAUGGGUAUAACCUUGCGAAAGUAAGACUAAUACCCCAUGGCAUUUUAUGGUGGCAUCAUUAUAGGAUUAAAGAUUUAUUGGUAAUGGAUGGGGAUGCGUCUGAUUAGCUUGUUGGCGGGGUAACGGCCCACCAAGGCAACGAUCAGUAGGGGUUCUGAGAGGGAGGGCCCGCACAUUGGAACUGAGACACGGUCCAAACUCCUACGGGAGGAAGCAGUGAGGAAGAUUGGGCGAUGGGCGAGAGCUUGAACCAGCCAAGUAGCGUGCAGGAUGACGGCCCUAUGAGUUGUAAACUGCUUUUAUAGGGGAAUAAAGUGAGCUACGUGUAGUUUAUUGCAUGUACCCUAUGAAUAAGGACCGGCUAAUUCCGU
rnacentral:rRNA from 1 species